UACGUAGGGUGCAAGCGUUGUCCGGAAUUAUUGGGCGUAAAGAGCUCGUAGGCGGUCUGUCGCGUCUGCUGUGAAAACUCAGGGCUUAACCCUGAGCUUGCAGUGGGUACGGGCAGACUAGAGUGCGGUAGGGGAGAUUGGAAUUCCUGGUGUAGCGGUGGAAUGCGCAGAUAUCAGGAGGAACACCGGUGGCGAAGGCGGCUCACUGGCUCGUAACUGACGCUCAUGCACGACAGCGUGGGAGCAAC
rnacentral:rRNA from 1 species